rnacentral:rRNA from 1 species
GACGAACGCUGGCGGCGUGCUUAACACAUGCAAGUCGAACGAAGUGGCGAACGGGUGAGUAACGCGUAAUUAACCUGCCCUUCAGAGGGGGACAACAGUUGGAAACGACUGCUUAUACAGCAUACUGAAGGUUGGGAUUGCGUCUGAUUAGCGAGUUGGAGGGGUGACGGCCCACCAAGGCCAUGAUCAGGAGCCGGGCUGAGCGGGUGAACGGCGACAGUGGGACUGAUAACCGGCCCAGACUCGGAAGGGAGGCAGCAGUGGGGAAGUUGCGGAAAUGGACGAAAGUCUGACGGAGCAACGCCGCGUGAGUGAUGAGGGCCGUCGGGUUGUAAAGCUCUGUUAAUCGGGGCGCGGUACCGGAAUAGAAAGCCACGGCUAACUACGUGCCAGCAGCCGCGGUAAUUC